CCUGUGUCCAAAUGUCUCAUAGGAUGCUCCCAGGAACGGCUUGAUCCUCGUUUUUGAAACUUCAAGUGCUGGCUAAGUGAAGCUGGUAAAGACCCAGGCUCUGGAGUCGGACUGCCUAGGUUCAAAUCCCAGCUUCACCAUUUGAUCUCAGGUAAUGUGCCAACAUUGUAACAAGGUUUAAAGGAUGGAUAUCUCACACAUGAGCAUGAAAAACUGUAAAGUAAGGCCAGAGAGAUUAAAUCCUUUGCUUGGGGGUAGGCAGCAGUGUUGGUUUUGGAGCCCACGUGUCCUGACUGAAUACUCUACAGCUGGUCAUUACUCCAGCUCCUUCUAGAGCAUCAGGGAGUCCUGACUCUGGAAUCCUGCAGUUCCCUCUGCCAGGGACUUGAGGAUGUUCUGGUGUUCACAUAUAGCACAAGCACUUCCCCCUCUUUUCUUCUGAUACCUGCAUGCACACCUGAGACGCCUACUCCAAGACUCACCCUGGGGAUGAAGUGGCCUGAUUUCAUUGUCAUAAAGGCAUCUCUGAUGGGAUUCUCCCAAGUCAGUAAUCAUCUGUGGGCUUUAUGAAUAACAAACAUCUUAGCCUUGGAUUAUGUAGCUAAUAAAAAUAAGAGGUAUAUUCUAAUAUGCCAAAGUCAGCAAUUGGGAAGUUCACGUCACCCGGUCCAAUGUUGCAUCCUCUCUGCGGUCUUUCCCAGUCUCCCCAGGCAGAGCCACUCCCUGCUCUUCUGUUCCUACCCAGAUUUCUUAGGCUGUAUCAUGACCUAAUUUGUACAAUUUCCCCUGUUAGGACUGUGAGUUCCUUCUGGAAAGGGUUACUGUCUUACUCAACUAUAUCUCCAACAUCUAGGACACAGCUUGGCCUCUAGUAGUUGCUGGGUCCAAAUGAUGGCUGGGACUGGGAGGAAGGCGCCAUGUAGACCAAACAGGGAUAUAAGUGAACUUUCACACUCACCAACUUUCACUUACAGUCAGGGGCAUCAUAAGAAUGAUUAUCCAAACCAGGAUACUUUUGAAUGGAAAGUGGCACUAUUAAUAAUUACAAUGGGACAGCAGGCAUAAAUCAGGCAAAUUGGGGUAUAGGACUGUCUUCCUUGUAACCUAGGUUUGGAAAGUUUUAGCUCUGGAAAUUAUGUACAAUAAGAAAAGAAACAUUAAGUGAAUGCAUGACUUGAAACCACUAAAAGAGAGGUCUGUUCAAAUAAAGGAAUUACAUUCUGUCAAAGUAUAAUAUACAGUGAAGGGAUGGUUAGUCUAGAAAUCACCAUCCCUUUUAUGAUUUAACCAAGGGUAUCGUAUGCGUCUACCCUAUGGCACUCUGGAUUGGUCCAAGUGGUCACCUGACCUAACCUGGCCCAAUCACGAGUCCUUUCCCUGGGAUUCUGGGACUACAGCUGCGAAGGAUGGGCUGUCUUUGGGUCGCCGAUGCAAAGCUGAACACUGGUAGUAGCCCUGCACCCACCACGUUGGGAGAACAGGUUUGCAGAUGGAGAGAGGAGCAGAAAGGAGAGAUAGAGCCCGCUUCCAGCACAGCUGAAACAUUUUGAGGGUCCAGGGCCAGAAUAUAAACGGACCCACCUAUCACGUAUCUAAAGACUUGGAAGUUAUAAAUCCAUUGUCAAAUAAAACAUAUCCUGUCUUCCUACCUUAAUAAAUGUAUCUUCAUGAGAAAAAAAAAAUGGAUAUGGAACAUGUGUAAAGCUACAGGUUUAACAUAUUCAAAAGUUUGCAAAAUGCCUAAGACCAGUGCAUUUAAUCAUUAUUACACAUUUGGUGUUCUCAAUAGGCUCUGACAUCAGCCAGAGUAAUAAAGAUAUGCAUGAUUCAAAAAUCACAUUAAUUCCUUAAAAUGUAUCAUUCUUGCCUUCAUUUCAGCAAAAUCACUAAUGUGGUUAUAUUCAAGAUUUUUACUGAAUUUGUGCUCUAUCAUGAGUUAUGGAUUAAAAAGAAUUUUUAAAAAGAUGUAAUUGUAGUAAAAAUAUACCAAAUCUGAA
rnacentral:lncRNA from 1 species